rnacentral:rRNA from 1 species
GACGAACGCUGGCGGCGUGCUUAACACAUGCAAGUCGAACGGAAAGGCCCUGCUUUUGUGGGGUGCUCGAGUGGCGAACGGGUGAGUAACACGUGAGUAACCUGCCCUUGACUUUGGGAUAACUUCAGGAAACUGGGGCUAAUACCGGAUAGGAGCUCCUGCUGCAUGGUGGGGGUUGGAAUGUUUCGGCGGUUGGGGUUGGACUCGCGGCUUAUCAGCUUGUUGGUGGGGUAGUGGCUUACCAAGGCUUUGACGGGUAGCCGGCCUGAGAGGGUGACCGGCCACAUUGGGACUGCGAUACGGCCCAGACUCCUACGGGAGGCAGCAGUGGGGAAUAUUGCACAAUGGGCGGAAGACUGAUGCAGCAACGCCGCGUGCGGGAUGACGGCCUUCGGGUUGUAAACCGCUUUCGCCUGUGACGAAGCGUGAGUGACGGUAAUGGGUAAAGAAGCACCGGCUAACUACGU